GAUGAACGCUAGCGGCAGGCCUAACACAUGCAAGUCGAGGGAGAAGCCCUUUCGGGGGCAGAAACCGGCGCACGGGUGCGUAACGCGUAUGCAACCUACCUUUCACAGGGGGAUAGCCCGAAGAAAUUUGGAUUAAUACCCCAUAAUAUUAUUGGAUGGCAUCAUUUGAUAAUUAAAACUGCGGUGGUGAAAGAUGGGCAUGCGUCCUAUUAGCUAGUUGGAGUGGUAACGGCACCCCAAGGCUACGAUAGGUAGGGGUCCUGAGAGGGAGAUCCCCCACACGGGUACUGAGACAGGGACCAGACUCCUACGGGAGGCAGCAGUGAGGAAUAUUGGUCAAUGGUCGGAAGACUGAACCAGCCAUGCCGCGUGCAGGAAGAAUGCCUUAUGGGUUGUAAACUGCUUUUAUAUGGGAAGAAUAAGGCGUACGUGUACGUUGAUGACGGUACCAAAUGAAUAAGCAUCGGCUAACUCCGUG
rnacentral:rRNA from 1 species